UACAGAGGGUGCGAGCGUUGUCCGGAAUCACUGGGCGUAAAGGGCGCGUAGGCGGCCUGGUCAGCGUGCGGUGAAAGCCCGGGGCUCAACCCCGGGUCGGCCGUGCGAACUGCUAGGCUCGAGCACUGUAGAGGCAGGUGGAAUUCCGGGUGUAGCGGUGGAAUGCGUAGAGAUCCGGAAGAACACCGGUGGCGAAGGCGGCCUGCUGGGCAGUGACUCGCAAGAGUCAAUAGCUGACGCUGAGG
rnacentral:rRNA from 1 species